UUAAGUUAUUAAGGGCGCACGGUGGAUGCCUUGGCACUAGAAGCCGAUGAAGGACGUUACUAACGACGAUAUGCUUUGGGGAGCUGUAAGUAAGCUUUGAUCCAGAGAUUUCCGAAUGGGGAAACCCAGCAUGAGUUAUGUCAUGUUAUCGAUAUGUGAAUACAUAGCAUAUCAGAAGGCACACCCGGAGAACUGAAACAUCUUAGUACCCGGAGGAAGAGAAAGAAAAUUCGAUUCCCUUAGUAGCGGCGAGCGAAAUGGGAAGAGCCCAAACCAACAAGCUUGCUUGUUGGGGUUGUAGGACACUCUAUACGGAGUUACAAAGGACGACAUUAGACGAAUCAUCUGGAAAGAUGAAUCAAAGAAGGUAAUAAUCCUGUAGUCGAAAAUGUUGUCUCUCUUGAGUGGAUCCUGAGUACGACGGAGCACGUGAAAUUCCGUCGGAAUCUGGGAGGACCAUCUCCUAAGGCUAAAUACUCUCUAGUGACCGAUAGUGAACCAGUACCGUGAGGGAAAGGUGAAAAGCACCCCGGAAGGGGAGUGAAAUAGAACCUGAAACCGUGUGCUUACAAGUAGUCAGAGCCCGUUAAUGGGUGAUGGCGUGCCUUUUGUAGAAUGAACCGGCGAGUUACGAUUUGAUGCAAGGUUAAGCAGUAAAUGUGGAGCCGUAGCGAAAGCGAGUCUGAAUAGGGCGUUUAGUAUUUGGUCGUAGACCCGAAACCAGGUGAUCUACCCUUGGUCAGGUUGAAGUUCAGGUAACACUGAAUGGAGGACCGAACCGACUUACGUUGAAAAGUGAGCGGAUGAACUGAGGGUAGCGGAGAAAUUCCAAUCGAACCUGGAGAUAGCUGGUUCUCUCCGAAAUAGCUUUAGGGCUAGCCUCAAGUGAUGAUUAUUGGAGGUAGAGCACUGUUUGGACGAGGGGCCCCUCUCGGGUUACCGAAUUCAGACAAACUCCGAAUGCCAAUUAAUUUAACUUGGGAGUCAGAACAUGGGUGAUAAGGUCCGUGUUCGAAAGGGAAACAGCCCAGACCACCAGCUAAGGUCCCAAAAUAUAUGUUAAGUGGAAAAGGAUGUGGCGUUGCCCAGACAACUAGGAUGUUGGCUUAGAAGCAGCCAUCAUUUAAAGAGUGCGUAAUAGCUCACUAGUCGAGUGACACUGCGCCGAAAAUGUACCGGGGCUAAACAUAUUACCGAAGCUGUGGAUUGUCCUUUGGACAAUGGUAGGAGAGCGUUCUAAGGGCGUUGAAGCAUGAUCGUAAGGACAUGUGGAGCGCUUAGAAGUGAGAAUGCCGGUGUGAGUAGCGAAAGACGGGUGAGAAUCCCGUCCACCGAUUGACUAAGGUUUCCAGAGGAAGGCUCGUCCGCUCUGGGUUAGUCGGGUCCUAAGCUGAGGCCGACAGGCGUAGGCGAUGGAUAACAGGUUGAUAUUCCUGUACCACCUAUAAUCGUUUUAAUCGAUGGGGGGACGCAGUAGGAUAGGCGAAGCGUGCGAUUGGAUUGCACGUCUAAGCAGUAAGGCUGAGUAUUAGGCAAAUCCGGUACUCGUUAAGGCUGAGCUGUGAUGGGGAGAAGACAUUGUGUCUUCGAGUCGUUGAUUUCACACUGCCGAGAAAAGCCUCUAGAUAGAAAAUAGGUGCCCGUACCGCAAACCGACACAGGUAGUCAAGAUGAGAAUUCUAAGGUGAGCGAGCGAACUCUCGUUAAGGAACUCGGCAAAAUGACCCCGUAACUUCGGGAGAAGGGGUGCUCUUUAGGGUUAACGCCCAGAAGAGCCGCAGUGAAUAGGCCCAAGCGACUGUUUAUCAAAAACACAGGUCUCUGCUAAACCGUAAGGUGAUGUAUAGGGGCUGACGCCUGCCCGGUGCUGGAAGGUUAAGAGGAGUGGUUAGCUUCUGCGAAGCUACGAAUCGAAGCCCCAGUAAACGGCGGCCGUAACUAUAACGGUCCUAAGGUAGCGAAAUUCCUUGUCGGGUAAGUUCCGACCCGCACGAAAGGCGUAACGAUUUGGGCACUGUCUCAACGAGAGACUCGGUGAAAUCAUAGUACCUGUGAAGAUGCAGGUUACCCGCGACAGGACGGAAAGACCCCGUGGAGCUUUACUGUAGCCUGAUAUUGAAAUUCGGCACAGCUUGUACAGGAUAGGUAGGAGCCUUUGAAACGUGAGCGCUAGCUUACGUGGAGGCGCUGGUGGGAUACUACCCUAGCUGUGUUGGCUUUCUAACCCGCACCACUUAUCGUGGUGGGAGACAGUGUCAGGCGGGCAGUUUGACUGGGGCGGUCGCCUCCUAAAAGGUAACGGAGGCGCUCAAAGGUUCCCUCAGAAUGGUUGGAAAUCAUUCAUAGAGUGUAAAGGCAUAAGGGAGCUUGACUGCGAGACCUACAAGUCGAGCAGGGUCGAAAGACGGACUUAGUGAUCCGGUGGUUCCGCAUGGAAGGGCCAUCGCUCAACGGAUAAAAGCUACCCCGGGGAUAACAGGCUUAUCUCCCCCAAGAGUUCACAUCGACGGGGAGGUUUGGCACCUCGAUGUCGGCUCAUCGCAUCCUGGGGCUGUAGUCGGUCCCAAGGGUUGGGCUGUUCGCCCAUUAAAGCGGUACGCGAGCUGGGUUCAGAA
rnacentral:rRNA from 1 species